rnacentral:rRNA from 1 species
AAUGAACGUUGGCGGCGUGGAUUAGGCAUGCAAGUCGUGCGCGAAUCGUAGCAAUACGAGGAGAGCGGCGAAAGGGAGAGGAUAGCAUAGAUACCUACCCUCGGACCUGGGAUAGCUAUGGGAAACUAUAGGUAAUACCAGAUAAUGUCUCCGGACCAAAGGUGUGAUUCCGUCCGGGGAGGGGUCUAUGUCCUAUUAGCUUGUUGGUGAGGUAACGGCUCACCAAGGCAAAGAUGGGUACGAGGCGUGAGAGCGUGUCCUCGCUCACUGGGACUGAGACACUGCCCGGAGACCUACGGGUAGCUGCAGUCGAGAAUCUUCGGCAAUGGGCGCAAGCCUGACCGAGCGACGCCGCGUGUGGGAUGAAGGUCUUCGGGUUGUAAACCACUGUCAGUGCGGAGGAAAUAUAGUGGGGUUCUCCCCAUUAUUUGACCUAUGCGCAGAGGAAGGACGGGCUAAGUUCGUGCCAGCCGCCGCAGUAA